AGGGACCUCUGGGUCCAGCCACUGCUUCAGCAGGACUAGCUAGAGCAGAGUGGCCCAGCCCACAUAAUAAGCAGUGAGCAUCUUCCUGGAUGUCAGCCUUUCAAGGAGCUUCAGGAGGAACAACUCCACAGGCAUAAAUUCGUGAAUGGUACUUGACAAUCUUAACAAGUCCUUCUCUCCCCGAGCUGAGCGUGUGACAGACGUGAUAGGGACGGCGUGCUCUCCUCUGUUCUCCAGCUGUGAAGGAGCUGACAUGAUAAUCAGGGACGGAUCCUGCCUCAGCCAACUCGAGGCAUGCCUCCGCUGACGCAGAUUUCAAGGAACUGAUUAAUCUGACAGAGAGACCAUGUUGGAGCUGAUUAUUUGCCAAAAGAUGUUUUAUAGAUCCACUUCAUUUCCAUUUACUGAGAGCAAUGAUAGGAAAAGAAGUAGCGGAUUCCUUGUGAUGGGUACCUUGGCUAUUUUGUAUGCUUCUAGGUUUGUACGUUUUUACUUUGGGCAUGGUGAAAGAUCAUUGCUAACUGAAUGGGCCUAUUCACUGGUGUAUGGAAAUGGACUUUAAGAAGGGUUGUGCAUGAUUGGCAAAUCAGUUCUAAUUGAAUAAAUGUCAAGGUCAAAACAAACAA